CUCCUUCUCCUCAAACUGAUUUUUCUCUUUAAUUUUUCGAUCUUCUUCUUCUCCAUCUAAUUCUCUUUAAUUUUUCGAUCUUCUUCUCCCUCACAAUCACGAAGAACACAUGCAACAUCUCGAUUUUCUGGGUUUUUGAAGACCACAUGCAACACCGAUUUGUAUGUUAUUUAGAUCUGAAAUCGAAGAAGCAAUAUACAAGCAAGAAUGAAUGAGUUUUUUUUUUUUUUUUUUUUUUUGAAUUUAUAUUAUAAUUUUUUUUAAAAUUUAUAUUGUAAUUUUUUUUAUAUGCUGUAAUCAAAGUUUUUUUUUGUUGUAAUUUUUUUUUAAUCAUAUAUUGCAAAUUUUCGAUUCUUGUUGAUAUGUUGCAAUUUUCGAUUCUUGUUGAUAUAUUCCAAAUUUUCGAUUCUAGUUGAUAUUUCGCAAAUUG